CGCGUAGACGGUUUUGUAAGUCAGAUGUGAAAUCCCCGGGCUCAACCUGGGAACUGCAUUUGAAACUGCAUGGCUAGAGUAUGGUAGAGGGAAGUGGAAUUUCCGGUGUAGCGGUGAAAUGCGUAGAUAUCGGAAGGAACACCAGUGGCGAAAGCGACUUCCUGGACCAAUACUGACGUUCAUGUGCGAAAGCGUGGGGAGCAAACAGGAUUAGAUACCCUGGUAGUCCACGCCAUAAACGAUGACAACUAGAUGUUGGGAGGGUCUGCCUCUCGGUGUCGCAGCUAACGCGUUAAGUUGUCCGCCUGGGGAGUACGGCCGCAAGGUUGAA
rnacentral:rRNA from 1 species